rnacentral:rRNA from 1 species
CAAUUGCCGGCGACCGGCGCACGGGUGAGUAACGCGUAUCCAACCUUCCGUACACUCAGGGAUAGCCUUUCGAAAGAAAGAUUAAUACCUGAUGGUAUGAUGAGAUUGCAUGAUAGCAUCAUUAAAGAUUUAUCGGUGUACGAUGGGGAUGCGUUCCAUUAGGUAGUAGGCGGGGUAACGGCCCACCUAGCCAACGAUGGAUAGGGGUUCUGAGAGGAAGGUCCCCCACAUUGGAACUGAGACACGGUCCAAACUCCUACGGGAGGCAGCAGUGAGGAAUAUUGGUCAAUGGACGAGAGUCUGAACCAGCCAAGUAGCGUGAAGGAUGAAGGUCCUACGGAUUGUAAACUUCUUUUAUAAGGGAAUAAACCCUCCCACGUGUGGGAGCUUGUAUGUACCUUAUGAAUAAGCAUCGGCUAACUCCGUGCCAGCAGCCGCGGUAAUACGGAGGACGCGAGCGCUAUCCGGAUUUAUUGGGUUUAAAGGGAGCGCAGACGGGUCGUUAAGUCAGCUGUGAAAGUUUGGGGCUCAACCUUAAAAUUGCAGUUGAUACUGGCGUCCUUGAGUGCGGUUGAGGUGUGCGGAAUUCGUGGUGUAGCGGUGAAAUGCUUAGAUAUCACGAAGAACUCCGAUUGCGA